rnacentral:hammerhead_ribozyme from 31 species
CACCGAUCCUCGGAUGUGUCCGAGCUGACGAGUUCGAAAGGACGAAAUCGGAA